CAGUAGCCGCGGGAACACGUAGGUGGCAAGCGUUGUCCGGAAUUAUUGGGCGUAAAGGGCUCGCAGGCGGUUUCUUAAGUCUGAUGUGAAAGCCCCCGGCUCAACCGGGGAGGGUCAUUGGAAACUGGGAAACUUGAGUGCAGAAGAGGAGAGUGGAAUUCCACGUGUAGCGGUGAAAUGCGUAGAGAUGUGGAGGAACACCAGUGGCGAAGGCGACUCUCUGGUCUGUAACUGACGCUGAGGAGCGAAAGCGUGGGGAGCGAACAGGAUUAGAUACCCCAGUAGUCCCUGUCUCUUAUAC
rnacentral:rRNA from 1 species